UACGUAGGGUGCAAGCGUUGUCCGGAAUUACUGGGCGUAAAGAGCUCGUAGGCGGUUUGUCGCGUCGUCUGUGAAAACUCGAGGCUCAACCUCGAGCUUGCAGGCGAUACGGGCAGACUUGAGUACUGCAGGGGGAGACUGGAAUUCCUGGUGUAGCGGUGAAAAUGCGCAGAUAUCAGGAGGAACACCGGUGGCGAAGGCGGGGUCUCUGGGCAGUAACUGACGCUGAGGAGCGAAAGCGUGGGGAGCGAACAGGA
rnacentral:rRNA from 1 species